rnacentral:rRNA from 1 species
AUGGGGCGAGGGCGCAGCGAGAUAAAGAGGAUCGACAACCCCACGCAGCGCCAGUCCACCUUCUACAAGCGCAGGGACGGCCUCUUCAAGAAGGCCCGGGAGCUCGCCGUCCUCUGCGACGCCGACCUCCUCCUCCUCCUCUUCUCCGCCUCCGGCAAGCUCUACCAGUACCUCGCGCCCACCGUCCCCUCUGUCAAGGAGUUUGUCGAGAGGUACGAGGCUGCAACGCACACCAAAGUUUGGUCCGACAUCCGCCAGGAGAGGCGCGCCGAGCUGGAGAAGGUGGCCAAGAUGUGCGACCUCUUGGAGAAGGAGCUGAGGUUCAUGACGGUGGACGACGGGGAGCAGUACACGGUGCCGUCGCUGGCGGCGCUGGAGCACAACCUGGAGGCGGCCAUGCACAAGGUGCGCUCCGAGAAGGACCGCAAGAUCGGGGGCGAGAUGAGCUACCUCGAGAACAUGAUCAGGGGGAAACAAGCUGAGCGCUACGGCCUAUGUGACAAGCUCGCUCAUGCUCAGAGCCUGAAGGUCGUGGAAGGCGGAUCCACCUCGCUGAACAACGGUCUGGACCUCAAACUUGGAUUCAACUAG